rnacentral:rRNA from 1 species
AUACGGGGGGUGCAAGCGUUAUUCGGAUUUAUUGGGCGUAAAGAGCGCGUAGGCGGCUUGGUAAGCCAGAUGUGAAAGCCCGGGGCUCAACCCCGGAAGUGCAUUUGAAACUAUCAGGCUUGAGUAUGGGAGAGGGAAGUGGAAUUCCUGGUGUAGAGGUGAAAUUCGUAGAUAUCAGGAGGAACACCGGUGGCGAAGGCGACUUCCUGGACCAAUACUGACGCUGAGGCGCGAAGGCGUGGGGAGCAAACAGGAUUAGAAACCCUGGUAGUCC